CAACGCGUUGGGGGCUCUCCCAUAUGGUCGACCUGCAGGCGGCCGCGAAUUCACUAGUGAUUCGUAUUACCGCGGCUGCUGGCACGGAGUUAGCCGGUGCUUAUUCAUCAGGUACCGUCGGAUACCAUAGAAAUAGUACUUUUCUUCCCUGAUAAAAGAAGUUUACAACCCAGAGGGCCUUCAUCCUCCACGCGGCAUGGCUGGUUCAGACUUUCGUCCAUUGACCAAUAUUCCUCACUGCUGCCUCCCGUAGGAGUCGGGCCCGUGUCUCAGUGCCCGUGUGGCUGGUCGUGCUCUCACACCAGCUACCUAUCGUCGGCUUGGUAGGCCGUUACCCUACCAACUACCUAAUAGGACGCACGCUCAUCCUUCACCGCCGGAACUUUAAUAGUUAAGUGAUGCCACUUUGCUAUUUUAUGGGGUAUUAAUCUCCUUUUCAGAAGGCUAUUCCCCAGUGAAGGGCAGAUUGCGUACGUGUUCCGCACCCGUUUGCCGCUCUCCAUUGCUGGAGCGCUCGACUUGCAUGUGUUAAGCCUGCCGCUAGCGUUCAUCCUGAGCCAUGAUCAAACUCUAAUCGAAUUCCCGCGGCCGCC
rnacentral:rRNA from 1 species